CACGUAGGGCGCAAGCGUUGUCCGGAUUUAUUGGGCGUAAAUAGCGUGUAGGCGGCCAGGUAGGUCUGCUGUGAAAACUCGAGGCUCAACCUCGAGACGUCGGCGGAAACCAUCUGGCUAGAGUCCGGAAGAGGAGAGUGGAAUUCCUGGUGUAGCGGUGAAAUGCGCAGAUAUCAGGAAGAACACCCGUGGCGAAGGCGGCUCUCUGGGACGGUACUGACGCUGAGACGCGAAAGCGUGGGGAGCGAACAGG
rnacentral:rRNA from 1 species